rnacentral:rRNA from 1 species
GAUGAACGCUAGCGGCAGGCCUAACACAUGCAAGUCGAGGGGCAGCACAGAAACAGCAAUGUUUUGGUGGCGACCGGCGGACGGGUGCGUAACGCGUAUGCAACCUACCUUUAACAGGGGGCUAACGGAGAGAAAUUUCUACUAAUACUCCAUAACAUCGAUCAAGGCAUCUUGAUUGGUUGAAAACUCCGGUGGUUAAAGAUGGGCAUGCGUUGUAUUAGGUAGUUGGCGAGGUAAUGGCUCACCAAGCCUACGAUACAUAGGGGGACUGAGAGGUUAGCCCCCCACACUGGUACUGAGACACGGACCAGACUCCUACGGGAGGCAGCAGUGAGGAAUAUUGGUCAAUGGGGGCAACCCUGAACCAGCCAUGCCGCGUGCAGGAAGACGGCUCUAUGAGUUGUAAACUGCUUUUAAACAUGGAUAAAGCACAGUAUGUAUACUGUGUUGAAGGUACUGUAAGAAUAAGGAUCGGCUAACUCCGUGCCAGCCGCCGCGGUAA